rnacentral:lncRNA from 12 species
CUGCAAGGCCCGAGGAUGGGAACUGAGGAUGUGGGAGGGUGCCUGCAUCCCCUUCCCGCCCGGUGUGGGGACAGGACCCUCCCCCGGGACCCUCGGCCUUCAGGGUGAAGGGCUAAGUGCUGAUUGGACGCUGCCUGCCCACAGUGAUGAUGCGGGACCCCACUCUGGGCGGAACUGUGGUGCCCCUGGGUUCCACCGCUGCCUGGUGCCCACUCUGCAUCCGCAGACCUUCGGAGGCACUUGUGCUCCGGAUCUGGCUCGCAGCGACCCGACUCUCCCACUCUCCCCAGUACCCCAGUACUCCCACUCUCCCCAGUACCCCCACCCUCCCACUCUCCCCAGUACCCCAACCCUCCCACUCUCCCCAGUACCCAGUGCAUAAAGAGGAGGCGCUCACACAGCGACAGGUCACAGCACGAUGCAGGAGGACCCGGAGACACUGCUGGCCUUGCAAAGGGCCAAUAUCGUGGCCCAGCACCAUCAGGCGCACCAAGCAGGGUCUCCGCAGGACCAGUCACUGUGCAAGGUCACUGACCACCAGGGCUUUCUGCAGUGAGUCCCCUGGACACCCCUCAUCCAUCUAAGGGGGGGUGGCAUUUGCAGGAACACCUCUCUGGAGGCUUACCCCCCCCCCCCAGGUCGGGACCUCGUCCCCUGGAGCCCUCUGAGGGCCAUGUCUGCGCUGGGCUGAGACACCCCGGAGGAUGACCCGGGGCGUGGGCAGGAAGGGAGCUGGGCCCGGGGGAGGCCCCUGGACACUCAGAGGAGGGGCCUCCAUGCCUUCUUCGGGCAGGCCCAGGUGUCUGCCUCCUGCAUCCGGGGGGGGGGGGUGUCCAGUCCCUUCAGCAGGGGCUCCCGCAGGUGAGGGGCUCUGGGGCUGGGGCGUGCUCUCCGUUGGGGGACGGCCUGGUCUGGGGCAAGUCCGCAGGGGUGCUCUCACCCACACCCCCCAGCCAGGGCCCCCACAGUCCCGAAGGCUUCUGUGGGGCUGCAGGUAGAUGCCAGGGUUCAGGCCAGGGCAGGGAGGGAGGGUGUGGAGCCUGAGCCUCCCCAGGCCCCAGGACAGAGGUUGGGGAGCAUCAGGUUGGGGCCAUGGUCCCCUGCUCCUCGUGGGAGACAGGGCCCAGCUCCAGGGAGACCCAGCCUCUCCGCAGACACCAUGGAGCUGACGCCAGAACCUUCUAGAUGCCUGCACCCCUUUAGAUGAGAAUAAAAAUGCGGCCUCCCAAUCUCCA